UGUUUUAUAGAGAGAAAAUGAAGAGCACUUGUUCAAAUGGGUUGAUGAAGCUCUCUUGGACGAAAUUAAGAUGGUAAAUGAGAAGUGUAAGAGAGUUGUAGAGAAUAUUAGUGACCUCAGAAUGAACGUGAUGGCUAAUAUGGAGCUCCUUAAUAAAAACGCUAAGCAGAUGGAGGAAGAGCUGAUUAAGAAGAUGGAGGGUGAACUCUUGACCAUGAAGGAGAAUGUGGAAGAGCUAGGACAUGUUAUGGCAAAGUCAGCUUUGAAGACUGUAGGGGUUGCUGUUGUGAUUGUUGCAUCUAUUGUAUGGCUUUGGGGAAGAGUGUAGGUGUUGUUGAGGUUUUGGAGUGAAAUUGUAGUAUUGGAUUAGUCUCUGUUAUAAAAUUGUCGAAUGAAGAACCCUAAUCGACCAAAUCGAUUUUGCAGAAGAAGAAGAAUGAAAACGACGUCGUUUUCUUUCUCUUUUUGAUGAGUUAAACGAAAUGAAAACGACGUCGUUUUCUUAACGGGUCUGGGUAUUAGUCAGGUUAAUCGCAAUCGCGGUACAGUAAACGCAGAUUUGUGGUUAAUCCCGGUUAAAUGAAUGGUUCAAUUGGAAAUGUAUGUUUAAGCAUGAAUUCGAAAGUAGAUGAUGUAAUUUUGAGGAAUAUGAAAGUUGAUGGUGAAAAUUUAAGGGCCCAAAAGUCCGGGGGUGAAAGCUGAGAAUCGAAAUAGUUUAUGGCUCAAAAAUCAGCCACCCAAUUCUACUUCAGUGUUUUUU
rnacentral:sRNA from 1 species